AGUUCCUCCUCCACGCUUUAGGCCGGGCCACUCCUUCUGCCACGUCUGCGUUUCGGGAACCGCUCAUGCGCCACUUUCAUCUUCCCAUGAUGGCCGCCGCUUGGGCGCCUCUGCUAAAUCACCCUGCACUGGUUGGAUCAGCUGACACCACCUAGACCGGUAACCUGGCUCAAUCAGUUCUGCCAUCCCACCCAGGAACAGAAAACAGCAAGAAAACCUCACUUCGACUCCCUAUGAGUCCAUCUUCAACCUGACCAAUCAGCACUCCCCACUUCACAAGCUCCUACUCGCCAAAUUAUCUGCUCCUCGAAUGCUCAGGGAGACUAAUUUGGUAAUAAUAAAACUCUGGUUUCCCACA